GCCCCCCUCAAGAUGAGAUUUCCCAAGUCAGUAAGACCCCUUGAAGACGACGAGGUAGAUAGGUUGGAGGUGGAAGCACGGCAACGUGUGGAGCUGACCAAUACUAAUCGGUCGAGGGCUUAUCCAAAA
rnacentral:rRNA from 1 species